rnacentral:rRNA from 1 species
GAGCUUGACUCUAGUCUGCAACUGUGAAGAGAGGUGUAGGAUAAGUGGGAGGCCCCCGCUCCUUCGCGAGCCACGGGGCGCCGACGGUGAAAUACCACUACUCUUUUUUUUUCCACUUACCCGGUGAGGUGGCUGGGAAGCCCCGAGGGGCUCUCGCAUCUGGCUCCAAGCGCCCGGCGCGUGCGACCCACUCCAAGGACAGUGGCAGGUGGGGAGUUUGACUGGGGCGGCACACCUGUCAAACCGUAAUGCAGGUGUCCUAAGGUGAGCUCAGGGAGGACAGAAACCUCCCGUGGAGCAGACGCGCAAAAGCUCGCUAUUAUAAUUCAUAAACAACGGGGUUCUGGGUCAAGGAUUCGUGAGUAGCAGAGCAGCUACCUCACUGCAAUCUAUUGAAAGUCAUC